rnacentral:rRNA from 1 species
CCUACGGGUGGCAGCAGUGAGGAAUAUUGGUCAAUGGACGAGAGUCUGAACCAGCCAAGUAGCGUGAAGGAUGACUGCCCUAUGGGUUGUCAACUUCUUUUAUAUGGGAAUAAAAUGUUCCACGUGUGGGAUUUUGUAUGUACCAAAUGAAUAAGGAUAGGCUAACUCCGGGCCAGCAGCCGAGGUAAUACGGAGGAUCCGAGCUUUAUCCGGAUUUAUUGGGUUUAAAGGGAGCGUAGGUUGAUUGUUGAGUGAGUUGUGAAAGUUUGCGGCUCAACCGUAAAAUUGCAGUUGAAACUGGCAGUCUUGAUUACAGUAGAGGUGGGCGGAAUUCGUGGUGUAGCGGUGAAAUGCUUAGAUAUCACGAAGAACUCCGAUUGCGAAGGCAGUUCACUGGACUGCAACUGACACUGAGGCUCGAAAGUGUGGGUAUCAAACAGGAUUAGAUACCCGAGUAGUC